rnacentral:rRNA from 1 species
AACGAACGCUGGCGGCAGGCUUAACACAUGCAAGUCGAGCGCCCCGCUAGGGGAGCGGCUGACGGGUGAGUAGCGCGUGGGAAUCUACUGACCCCUAAGGAACAGCCCCCGGAAACUGGAAUGAAUACCGUAUAUGGCCUUAAGGGGAAAGAUUUAUCGGAGUUUGAUGAGGCCGGGUGGGUUUAGCUGGUUGGUGCGGUUAAGGCUUACCAAGGCGACGAUCCAUAGCGGGUCUGAGGGGAUGAUCAGCCACAUUGGGACUGAGACCCGGCCCAAACGCCUACGGGAGGCAGCAGUGGAUAAUAUUGGACAGUUGGCGCAAGCGUGAUCCAGCGAUGCUGCGUGAGUAAUGAAGGGCCUAGGGUUGUAAAGCUCUUUCACCGGUGAAGAUAAUGACGGUAACCGGAGAAGAAGCCCCGGCUAACUUCGUGCCAGCCGCCGCGGUAA